UAGUACUUUUCUACAUAAGACUGGCAGUGCAGCUCAAGUGGCAGAGAGCCACAACCCACAAUCCACGUGUCUACAUAUACUUUACUGUUAAUUUCAUUUUCUUUCAAACAUCAAAUCUUUACUCUCUCUGCCAAUUAUUCUCACUCUCAAUAUUUCUUCAUUUCAUUUAGGCGUUUCAGCAGUGUGGGGUUUGCUCGGUUUCAUUUUCUCCAUCCCAUCCUUGACCUCAGUCCUUUAUUGUAAAAAAGAUAGGCAGCUUUACUUUCUCGCUUCUCGCUUUCCCACUUACAAGUCUUUUCUCUUGUAGCCAAAGAUGGUUUUUUCCUGUCCAAAUUCUUCAAACACUGGCUCUCGCUUUUAGGGCUAGGCUUGCUUUAGCUUCCUUCCUUACUUCCCUCGUAUAGCUUCCAGUCAAAUUUUCCUUCUUCUUCCUUUUUUUAUUUUUUUCAAUUAAUUAAUCAAUUAAUUUAUUUUUUUGUUAUCCAUAUAUCUUAUGGGUAAGAACAAAUUUAGUCGUUAUUACUCUAAGAUUGAGUUCGAUCAAGAUGCUAGAAAGUUUUUAGAACAUAAGAACAAGAUUCCAAAGGGUGUGGUGGUUGAAAGAGCUUCUAAAUCUUCAAUUAACGAAACGAUUCCUGAAGAGGAAAUUGUGAUUCAUGCUAGUACCUUUUAAUUAGGCUUGUGUCUUCCAUUCCAUGUUUUGAUUGAAGAAAUAUUGAGCAAACACGAUCUAGUCCCCACCCAAUUAGCCCCCAACUGUUGGAGGGUAAUGUUUGGUAUCAUAGCGUUGAACCAAUUAUGUAAAAUUAACUUGGGUUGGAACGAGUUUUGUCAUUGUUAUACAGUUAAGUCAAAUAGAGGUAUUUAUUAUUUUUCUCAUAAGAAGGCAAACCUGACCUGGUCACUGGUUUACCAAGAUCUGAGAAAGGAUGGGAAUCAGAUGAUUUGAUCCGUCUUAAAGGUGAUUGGGAUGAGCUGCACUCGGUACCUAGAUCUAAAACUCAUGCUGAUCAUAAACCUAAAGCUUUGAAGUCUUCGGAUGUGAACCAGUGCGAUAUUGAUAAGGCUUUGGAGUUCCAAAACAGAGAUUGGAAAUAUCUUGUUGAUCAUGCAGCUAAUUUAGAGCUGCAUAGAGAAAGUAAGAUAGCUGAUGAAUCUCAAUCUUCUCAUCUAACUGCCACUGGUUCAGCACAUAGCAACCUCGGUGGCGAUGUUUGGAGUGUGGAAGUAGGCGGCCUGACGACCACAGACGUUUUAUCGUCGCCCCCGUCGUCUUGUAAGAAACGAAAGCUGAUGCAUUGUGAUUCUAAUGCCUCACUAGCAGCUAAUUGGGUCCAUCCUAACCCUGCUCGAUCUGAUUAUUAGUCGUCCAUUCCUUCUGAAGCUGCUGCUGCUAAUUCGAAAGUUACUACUGAUUAUGUUAAUCAUGAGCAGGGAUCGGAAGAUGAAGAGACGGCUGAUCAAUCUGAGAAAAACAUUAACUCUAUUGAUCAACUUUUAAAGCACAACUUAUUUGAAGAGGCUGGUUCACAACUGGUUCCAUUUUUUUCGAAGUUUGUCGACUACUGUGUGAAUCGCAUCAACGAUCAAGAUAGAUACAUCAAGGAAUUAAAAGCUGCCAAUGAAAGGAAAGAUAAGGUACUUGAAGAAUUGAAGAUGGUGAAAGAGGAGCCAGCUGUAAUUAUUGAAAUAGCCGAAACUACCCCAGGUGCAACAAACACAGAAAGCCCUAAAACAUGUUGUAAUGAAUCGGCUGAACAACUUGAGCAAAUUUAGAAACAAAUGGAAGACAUGCAAGCUCAGAUAACAAAAAUCCAAAAACCCAAAAAGCUUCGUCGUUCUUCACGGAUGGAGACACCAUCAUCAUCUUCAUCCAAAAACGAGGAACCUCUUAUUAGUCAAAGUCCAAAUAAUCAUAACAUUGAAGGAGCUGCUGCUAGUUUUACUCCUAAUUAUCAAAAUAUUAAUAUUCCAGGCCAUGAUGAUAUUAAUGAUCACCACCUGCAGCAGCAGCAGCAGAUCAUUGAACCAGGUUCGUCGAAUAAUGAUACUAUUCCAUUUCAGCAACUAUUGGCAGAGCUUUUUGGAUAACAAUAUGCUCCAACAUUUUAUUUGACGGUUCAGAAUUUUUUGUUCACGGGCGCCAUGCCUGGAUUUUGUCAAGCCAGUUGAUGUAUACACACACACACACGGAAAGGCCACAUGUGUUGCAUGUGGACCAACUAUAAAAGUGUUGAAUAUUGUUUUAUUAAUUUUUGUUAUGUAUAAAAUUAAAAAUUUGUUGGAUU